AUUGAACGCUGGCGGCAGGCUUAACACAUGCAAGUCGAGUGAGCGGAGGAAGGGUGAGUAAUGUCUGGGAAACUGCCUGAAGGAGGGGGAUAACUACUGGAAAAGGUAGCUAAUCCCGGAUACCAUCGGAUGUGACCAACUGGGAUUAGCUAGUAGGUGGGGUAAAGGCUCACCUAGGCGACGAUCCCUAGCUGGUCUGAGAGGAUGACCAGCCACACUGGAACUGAGACACUGUCCAGACUCCUACGGGAGGCAGCAGUUGGGAAUAUUGCACAAUGGGCGCAAGCCUGAUGCAGCCAUCCCGCGUGUAUGAAGAAAGCCUUCGGGUUGUAAAGUACUUUCAGCGGUGAGGCGUUACCCGCAGAAGAAGCACCGGCUAACUCCUUGCCAGCAGCCGCGGUAAUAC
rnacentral:rRNA from 1 species